AGAUGAAUCAGAAGACAAAGAAGAAUGCGAAGAUUCCGACUGGUUUUACGGUAUAUUCUAAAAAAUGAGCAGUUAUUCGAUGUGCUCAAUAUUAUAUGGACCAUAAGAUGAAUAUUGUUUACUGGGAUUAUUAAAAGUAGUAUUUGUGUUUCUCUUUGUUGUAUGGGAUUACAAAAUUUAAAUAGAUGUAGUUUGCGUUG